rnacentral:ncRNA from 1 species
CUAUGGCAAAAUUUUGUCAUGGCGGAAGGAG